UACCGUCCGGGGUUCGAGGCCGGGAUGAGAAGUGAUUCCUUCCACAGGUGGCGCUUCGGAAGCCUUAGCAGCCUGAAAAGGUGGCCCUCUGACGACGAUAAAAUAAAAAGAGGUGCUGAAAUGCUAGUCAGUUAGCACACUGGCGACACCGUCAAAUUGCGGGAACCCCCUAAAGACUUCUGCUACCAAGCAGUGCUGGGAAACCUCACUGUGGCCAGGGUAAUGACCUCGGGUAUGGUAACAACGCAGAGUAUGAUCCUCUGGUAUUCAGUGGUGAAAUGGGCAAUCUGCAGCCAAGUCCGUCGUGCUCCUCUGGGGUGCCGGAUGCCGUUCACAGGCCAAAUGGUGGUGGGUUGACUUGGGCAUCAAGUCAGCUUAAGAUAUGGUCGGACCCCUGGGAAACCUUGCGGGAUAGUCACCAUGUAGUUAAAUGGAGGCGGGGAGCGAAAAAGUGCAAGCUUCUCACCAUGGGCGACUACGACAACCAGCUAUACAGCACACACGCUCCUGGGCGUACCACAAAAAUGUUCCGUAGGUGAACCUGCGGAAGGAUCAUUA
rnacentral:rRNA from 1 species